UACGUAGGGUGCGAGCGUUGUCCGGAAUUAUUGGGCGUAAAGAGCUCGUAGGCGGUCUGUCGCGUCUGCUGUGAAAACUCGGGGCUUAACCCCGGGCCUGCAGUGGGUACGGGCAGACUAGAGUGCGGUAGGGGAGACUGGAAUUCCUGGUGUAGCGGUGAAAUGCGCAGAUAUCAGGAGGAACACCGAUGGCGAAGGCAGGUCUCUGGGCAACAACUGACGCUGAGGAGCGAAAGCGUGGGGAGCGAACAGG
rnacentral:rRNA from 1 species